GAAAUGCGAUACUUGGUGUGAAUUGCAGAAUCCCGUGAACCAUCGAGUCUUUGAACGCAAGUUGCGCCCGAAGCCUUUUGGCCGAGGGCACGCCUGCCUGGGCGUCACGCAUCGCGUCUCCCCCAUCCCCCCCGCAAGGGCGGGGAGGGGGAGGAGGAUGGCCUCCCAUGCCUCACCGGGCGUGGAUGGCCUAAAUAAGGAGCCCCAGGCCACGAGCUGCCGCGGCGAUAGGUGGUAGACAAGGCCUCCGGCCAAGGAUGCAUCGUGCCGUGCGGCGAGUGGCAGAUGGGGCCUCGCAGGACCCUUACUCGGUGCCCUUAGCGGCGCCGAAACCGUUGCGACCCCAGGUCAGGCGGGGCUACCCGCUGAGUUUAA
rnacentral:misc_RNA from 1 species